GAGGAAUAUUGCGCAAUGGGCGAAAGCCUGACGCAGCAACGCCGCGUGGGUGAUGAAGUCUCUUGGGACGUAAAACCCUUUCGACGGGGAAGAAACCGCAAGGUUGACGGUACCCGUAGAAGAAGCCCCGGCUAACUCCGUGCCAGCAGCCGCGGUAAUACGGAGGGCGCGAGCGUUGUCCGGAAUCACUGGGCGUAAAGGGCGCGUAGGCGGUAUGCCAAGCGUGUGGUGAAAGCCCGGGGCUCAACCCCGGGUCGGCCGUGCGGACUGGCGUGCUCGAGCACUGUAGGGGCGGGUGGAAUUCCGGGUGUAGCGGUGGAAUGCGUAGAGAUCCGGAAGAACACCGGUGGCGAAGGCGGCCCGCUGGGCAGGAAGGCUUCGUAAGAGGCCGGCUGACGCUGAGGCGCGACAGCGUGGGGAGCAAAC
rnacentral:rRNA from 1 species